UACGUAGGGGGCAAGCGUUGUCCGGAAUCAUUGGGCGUAAAGCGUCCGCAGGUGGCACUUCAAGUCUGUCGUCAAAGACCGGGGCUUAACCCUGGAAAGGCGAUGGAAACUGAAAGGCUAGAGAGAGGUAGGGGUAGAGGGAAUUCCCAGUGUAGCGGUGAAAUGCGUAGAGAUUGGGAAGAACAUCGGUGGCGAAAGCGCUCUACUGGACCUCAUCUGACACUCAGGGACGAAAGCUAGGGGAGCGAAUGGG
rnacentral:rRNA from 1 species